rnacentral:misc_RNA from 1 species
CCGAGUUUACAACUCCCAAACCCAUGUGAACAUACCUGUUGCCUCGGCGGCCUACCCGGCAGCUACCCUGUAGCUACCCUGUAGUCCGCCGACGGAUUUCAAAACUCUUGUUUUCAGUUGUAUCUCUGAGAAUAAAACAAAUAAAUCA